GCUUGGAUGGUGGAAUGGUAGACACUAGGGACUUAAAAUCCCUUGCCGGUAACGGCGUGCGAGUUCGACUCUCGCUCCGAGCA
rnacentral:tRNA from 1 species